rnacentral:rRNA from 1 species
UACGGAGGGGGCUAGCGUUGUUCGGAAUACUGGGCGUAAAGCGCACGUAGGCGGAUAUUUAAGUCAGGGGUGAAAUCCCAGAGCUCAACUCUGGAACUGCCUUUGAUACUGGGUAUCUGGAGUAUGGAAGAGGUGAGUGGAAUUCCGAGUGUAGAGGUGAAAUUCGUAGAUAUUCGGAGGAACACCAGUGGCGAAGGCGGCUCACUGGUCCAUUACUGACGCUGAGGUGCGAAAGCGUGGGGAGCAAACAGG